rnacentral:rRNA from 1 species
AGCUCCAAUAGCGUAUAUUAAAGUUGUUGCGGUUAAAAAGCUCGUAGUUGGAUCUCGGCGGGUAGAAGGCGGUACACCUCUUAGGUUUACUGCCUUUUUACCCCUUGUUUUUUCUAGAGGUUUCUGGGUGCUCUUCAUUGAGUGUCCUUGGAUGCUAGCAGGUUUACUUUGAAAAAAUUAGAGUGCUCAAAGCAGGCUACUACGCUUGAAUAUUCGUGCAUGGAAUAAUAGAAUAGGAAGUCGUUUCUAUUUUGUUGGUUUUCGGAAAUCGACUUAAUGAUUAAUAGGGACAGUCGGGGGCAUUUGUAUUCAAACGACAGAGGUGAAAUUCUUGGACCGUUUGAAGACAAACUACUGCGAAAGCAUUUGCCAAGAAUGUUUUCA